rnacentral:rRNA from 1 species
GAUGAACGCUGGCGGCGUGCCUAAUACAUGCAAGUCGAGCGAACAGACGAGGAGCUUGCUCCUCUGACGUUAGCGGCGGACGGGUGAGUAACACGUGGAUAACCUACCUAUAAGACUGGGAUAACUUCGGGAAACCGGAGCUAAUACCGGAUAAUAUAUUGAACCGCAUGGUUCAAUAGUGAAAGACGGUUUUGCUGUCACUUAUAGAUGGAUCCGCGCCGCAUUAGCUAGUUGGUAAGGUAACGGCUUACCAAGGCAACGAUGCGUAGCCGACCUGAGAGGGGGAUCGGCCACACUGGAAUUGAGAAACGGGCCAGAUCCCUACGGGGGGCAGCAGUGGGAAAUCUGCCGCAAGGGGCGAAAGCCUGACGGAGCAACGCCGCGUGAGUGAGGAAGGUCUUCGGAUCGUAAGACGCUGUUAUUAGGAAAGAACAAAUGUGUAAGUAACGAUGCACGUCUUGACGGUACCUAAGCAGAAAGCCACGGCUAACUACGU